UACGUAGGGUGCAAGCGUUGUCCGGAAUUAUUGGGCGUAAAGAGCUCGUAGGCGGUUUGUCGCGUCUGCUGUGAAAACGCGAGGCUCAACCUCGCGCCUGCAGUGGGUACGGGCAGACUAGAGUGCGGUAGGGGAGAUUGGAAUCCCUGGUGUAGCGGUGGAAUGCGCAGAUAUCAGGAGGAACACCGAUGGCGAAGGCAGAUCUCUGGGCCGUAACUGACGCUGAGGAGCGAAAGCGUGGGGAGCGAACAGG
rnacentral:rRNA from 1 species